CCCUGGUGGCUCAGAUGGUAAAGCAUUGGCCUGCAAUGCGGGAGAUCCAGGUUCAAUCCCUGGAUCAGGAA
rnacentral:tRNA from 1 species